rnacentral:rRNA from 1 species
AGAGUUUGAUCCUGGCUCAGGAUGAACGCUGGCGGCGUGCCUAAUACAUGCAAGUCGAACGCUUCACUUCGGUGAAGAGUGGCGAACGGGUGAGUAAUACAUAAGUAACCUGGCAUCUACAGGGGGAUAACUGAUGGAAACGUCAGCUAAGACCGCAUAGGUGUAGAGAUCGCAUGAACUCUAUAUGAAAAGUGCUACGGGACUGGUAGAUGAUGGACUUAUGGCGCAUUAGCUUGUUGGUAGGGUAACGGCCUACCAAGGCGACGAUGCGUAGCCGACCUGAGAGGGUGACCGGCCACACUGGGACUGAGACACGGCCCAGACUCCUACGGGAGGCAGCAGUAGGGAAUUUUCGGCAAUGGGGGAAACCCUGACCGAGCAACGCCGCGUGAAGGAAGAAGUAAUUCGUUAUGUAAACUUCUGUCAUAGAGGAAGAACGGUGGAUAUAGGGAAUGAUAUCCAAGUGACGGUACUCUAUAAGAAAGCCACGGCUAACUACGUGCCAGCAGCCGCGGUAAUACGUAGGUGGCGAGCGUUAUCCGGAAUUAUUGGGCGUAAAGAGGGAGCAGGCGGCACUAAGGGUCUGUGGUGAAAGAUCGAAGCUUAACUUCGGUAAGCCAUGGAAACCGUAGAGCUAGAGUGUGUGAGAGGAUCGUGGAAUUCCAUGUGUAGCGGUGAAAUGCGUAGAUAUAUGGAGGAACACCAGUGGCGAAGGCGACGAUCUGGCGCAUAACUGACGCUCAGUCCCGAAAGCGUGGGGAGCAAAUAGGAUUAGAUACCCUAGUAGUCCACGCCGUAAACGAUGAGUACUAAGUGUUGGGUGUCAAAGCUCAGUGCUGCAGUUAACGCAAUAAGUACUCCGCCUGAGUAGUACGUUCGCAAGAAUGAAACUCAAAGGAAUUGACGGGGGCCCGCACAAGCGGUGGAGCAUGUGGUUUAAUUCGAAGCAACGCGAAGAACCUUACCAGGUCUUGACAUCGAUCUAAAGGCUCCAGAGAUGGAGAGAUAGCUAUAGAGAAGACAGGUGGUGCAUGGUUGUUGUCAGCUCGUGUCGUGAGAUGUUGGGUUAAG